UACGUAGGGUGCGAGCGUUAAUCGGAAUUACUGGGCGUAAAGCGUGCGCAGGCGGUGAUGUAAGACAGAUGUGAAAUCCCUGGGCUCAACCUGGGAACUGCAUUUGUGACUGCAUCGCUGGAGUGCGGCAGAGGGGGAUGGAAUUCCGCGUGUAGCAGUGAAAUGCGUAGAUAUGCGGAGGAACACCGAUGGCGAAGGCAAUCCCCUGGGCCUGCACUGACGCUCAUGCACGAAAGCGUGGGGAGCAAACAGG
rnacentral:rRNA from 1 species